UAAUACGGAGGAUCCGAGCGUUAUCCGGAUUUAUUGGGUUUAAAGGGAGCGUAGGCGGGAUAUCAAGUCAGCUGUGAAAUGUAGAUGCUCAACAUCUGCACUGCAGUUGAAACUGGUGUUCUUGAGUGCGUAAGAGGUAGGCGGAAUUCGUCGUGUAGCGGUGAAAUGCAUAGAUAUGACGAAGAACUCCGAUUGCGAAGGCAGCUUACUGGGCCGCAACUGACGCUGAAGCUCGAAGGUGCGGGUAUCAAACAGG
rnacentral:rRNA from 1 species